rnacentral:lncRNA from 1 species
UCCUUGUUUUUUCUACUGUCACAGGCUAUACCCCUGUCCUGGAAUUGGAAGCUGUGAACUGCAAGCUUCCAAGGUGCCGAAAACUUCGUUGCCCUGUAAUUUUCCUCGAUCUGGUGGUCUGAACAUUUGAAUCUGCGCCGCGUCGCUGCCGACCACAUCGCAGCAAAGAUUCUGCGCAAGCGCUGCUGUUGUCACGUGCAAGCCACGGCCACAGCUGGGACGGUGCCCUUCACUUCGGCAACAGCGGCGGAGCGCAUCGCACGCAGCCCGCUGAAUCCUUGUUUUUCUACUGUCACAGCUGCAAGUCUUGCAAACACACGACUACAAAACGGACUCGUGAUGAUGCGUCUGCUGCCAUUUCAAAGAAGACAAAGGCUGGCUUAACGAAAUUCACGUACGGAAAUUUGGACCUCACAAUGGAAGACGAGAAGCUGCCCCCGUAUGUUAAAUAUCGUGCCAGUGAUGCUUCGGUCACGCUUGCCGAUGGAGAGUCAACGUCGUUAAAGGCACCACCGAAAAGAGGAUGGAAGUCUAGGUGCACAGCGAUGGGAUUGUUGAAAGUU